AUGAUCCCCGCGGAAGAGACCGGACCUCUGAGGUCCGGCGCCGAAGGCGCAACCGCCCCGGAAACGCUCAGGCCAAAGGACCGCGCGGGAGCU
rnacentral:ncRNA from 2 species